UACGUAGGAGACGAGCGUUGUCCGGAAUUACUGGGCGUAAAGCGCGUGUAGGCGGAUGAGCAAGUCUGCUGUGAAAGCUCCUGGCUUAACCGGGAGUGGUCGGUGGAAACUGCUCGUCUGGAGGACGGUAGAGGUAGGUAGAAUUCCCGGUGUAGUGGUGAAAUGCGUAGAUAUCGGGAGGAACAUCAGUGGCGAAGGCGGCCCUCUGGUCCAGUACUGACACUCAAGUGCGAAAGCGUGGGGAGCAAACAGG
rnacentral:rRNA from 1 species